AACGAACGCUGGCGGCAGGCUUAACACAUGCAAGUCGAACGCCCUAGCAAUAGGGAGUGGCGCACGGGUGAGUAACGCGUGGGAAUAUACUGUGUAGUGGGGAAUAACUUUGGGAAACUAAAGCUAAUACCGCAUACGCCCGAGAGGGGAAAGAUUUAUCGCUAUACAAUUAGCCCGCGUGAGAUUAGGUAGUUGGUGGGGUAAUGGCCUACCAAGCCUACGAUCUCUAGCUGGUCUGAGAGGAUGAUCAGCCACAACUGGAACUGAGACACGGUCAAACUCCUACGGGGGGGAGGCGGGGGGAAUUAUUGGCAAUGGAGGGAAAUCCUAACCCGGCCUUGCGCGGGGGGGAUGGAGGCCUUAGGGUUGUAAAGCUCUUUUAACGGUGAAGAUAAUGACGGUAACCGUAGAAUAAGCCCCGGCUAACUUCGUGCCAGCCGCCGCAGUAA
rnacentral:rRNA from 1 species